GACGAACGCUGGCGGCGUGCUUAACACAUGCAAGUCGAACGGAAAGGCCCUGCUUUUGUGGGGUGCCCGAGUGGCGAACGGGUGAGUAACACGUGAGUAACCUGCUCUUGACUUUGGGAUAACUUCAGGAAACUGGGGCUAAUACCGGAUAGGAGCUCCUGCUGCAUGGUGGGGGUUGGAAAGUUUCGGCGGUUGGGGAUGGACUCGCGGCUUAUCAGCUUGUUGGUGGGGUAGUGGCUUACCAAGGCUUUGACGGGUAGGCGGCCUGAGAGGGUGACCGGCCACAUUGGGACUGAGGUACGGCCCAGACUCCUACGGGAGGCAGCAGUGGGGAAUAUUGCACAAUGGGCGGAAGCCUGAUGCAGCAACGCCGCGUGCGGGAUGACGGCCUUCGGGUUGUAAACCGCUUUCGCCUGUGACGAAGCGUGAGUGACGGUAAUGGGUAAAGAAGCACCGGCUAACUACGUG
rnacentral:rRNA from 1 species